rnacentral:vault_RNA from 1 species
AGGUCAGCCAUAGCUCAGCGGUUACUUCUGGCAACCUUCAUAUGCAUGAAACAUCCUUACCCAGGAUCAAUUCCCGCGGGCGCUACCUGACCCUUUA